UCCUGACCGUACCUGCAUGAAUCCAUAACCUCUUCCUUGUGAUCUUGUUUGCUACAGACAUGUUCAGUCAUCCAAUCCAUCCCUGCAGCACUCAUCAGAGGAAGCAGAGGGAACAUGAAUGAAAAAGUCUCACUGUGCUGUUGAAGCCCAGAACACCUGUGAAAAUCUGCUGGAGUCUGCAAUAACCCCAGGCAUUUAGGACUUUUCAGAAAGAAGAGGAAGGCAGGACCAUGCCUACUGAGAAGGUAACUUAAGGCAUGUGAGAAAAGCAACAUGAGUAUUCCACAUCAGUAGGAGAGCAGAAGGUAAACUGUGCACUGAUGGUCUGGAAAUAGUCAAUGCUUGGUUGCACAUGAGCCUCAAUCCACCUGUGCUGAUGAGAGCUUGGAAGCAGCACAGUCAUAUGGGAAUGAGCCCAGAUCUUGCACUGUUCAUUGAUGAAUCUGGAUGGACAUAAGCAGAUUCCAUAUCUCAAGUCAGAUGUCCUAGAGAGCCUGUACUAGCAUUGAUUUUGUAUGACUCAGGAAGCCUCAAAUAGCUAUAAUUGUUGAU